rnacentral:rRNA from 1 species
GUUUGAUCAUGGCUCAGAUUGAACGCUGGCGGAAUGCUUUACACAUGCAAGUCGAGCGGCAGCGCGGGGCAACCUGGCGGCGAGCGGCGAACGGGUGAGUAAUGCAUCGGAACGUACCCAUUUGUGGGGGAUAACUAUCCGAAAGGAUAGCUAAUACCGCAUAAGUCCUGAGGGAGAAAGCGGGGGAUCGCAAGACCUCGCGCGAAUGGAGCGGCCGAUGCCGGAUUAGCUAGUUGGUAGGGUAAAGGCCUACCAAGGCGACGAUCCGUAGCGGGUCUGAGAGGAUGAUCCGCCACACUGGGACUGAGACACGGCCCAGACUCCUACGGGAGGCAGCAGUGGGGAAUUUUGGACAAUGGGGGAAACCCUGAUCCAGCCAUUCCGCGUGAGUGAAGAAGGCCUUCGGGUUGUAAAGCUCUUUCGGCAGGAACGAAACGGUGGUCCUUAAUACGGGCUACUAAUGACGGUACCUGAAGAAGAAGCACCGGCUAACUACGUGCCAGCAGCCGCGGUAAUACGUAGGGUGCGAGCGUUAAUCGGAAUUAGCUGGGAGUAAAGCGUGCGCAGGCGGUUCUAUAAGAUCAGAUGUGAAAUCCCCGGGCUUAACCUGGGAACUGCGUUUGUGACUGUAGGACUCGAGUUGCCGNGG